GUUCUUUUCUACCCACGCGCGAAGUUAGCCUUCUAAAAGCCCAAGGUACCAUGUUUUUGCUCUUGCAGAUUAUUGGUAUUCCUAAUCAACGAUGUUUUGGGAAGAUCACCAAACAGUAUAGUCAUGUUAUUAAAACACGUUUACUUCACGGGACUACUGUAUGUGAAAAAGAAUUCAAGCUACAAUCCAGACCGCCUACCGACAGAACGAGGGAUUUUAUAGGUCCGCCAGAUACUGCCUCAAACCUGAGACCGAUUAUUUUCCGAAGCUCAAAAGUGUCACCUGUUGAAAAAAGGUACCAUGAAAAAUACGAAAACGUCAUGAAGUGGAAUCAAGACUUUUGGGCUAAUCAUAAUAAGAAGUUCACAAAGAAGAAAGAAGAGUAUAUUGAAGAGACACUAAAGUCAAAAUCAAAAGCUGAGGGGGGAAAUCCGACGCUUACACCUGAAGAAAUGUCUGUCUUUUAUAAACAAUUCUUAGAUGACAAUUAUAGACUUCAUACACAGUA